rnacentral:tRNA from 1 species
GGGCCCUUAGCUCAGCUGGGAGAGCGCCUGCUUUGCACGCAGGAGGUCAUCGGUUCGAUCCCGAUAGGGUCCA